rnacentral:rRNA from 1 species
GCCUCUUCAAUUUGCAUUUCUUACACGCCCGAUCUCAUCUGAUCUCGGAGGCUAAGCAGGGUCGGACCUGGUUAGUAUUUGGAUGGGAGACCUCCUAGGAAUAUCAGGGGCUGUAGGCU